rnacentral:rRNA from 1 species
AUUGAACGCUGGCGGCACGCCUAACACAUGCAAGUCGAGCGGCAGCGAGAGUAGUAGCAAUACUACUUGUCGGCGAGCGGCGGACGGGUGAGGAACACGUAGGAAUCUACCCAGAAGAGGGGGAUAACCAAGGGAAACUUUGGCUAAUACCGCAUAAUCUCGAGAGAGAAAAGCUGCCCGCAAGGGUGGCGCUUUUGGAGGAGCCUGCGUCCGAUUAGCUAGUUGGUAGGGUAAAGGCCUACCAAGGCGAUGAUCGGUAACUGGUCUGAGAGGACGACAAGUCACACUGGAGCUGAGACACGGCCCAGACUCCUACGGGAGGCAGCAGUGGGGAAUAUUGGACAAUGGGGGCAACCCUGAUCCAGCGAUGCCGCGUGAGUGAAGAAGGCCUUCGGGUCGUAAAGCUCUUUAGGUUGGGAAGAAGGGUGCGAGGGUAAUAUCCUUGUACUUUGACGGUACCAACAGAAUAAGCACCGGCAAACUCUGUGCCAGCCGCCGCCGUAA